GACGAACCGUGCGAACGUUGUUCGGAAUCACUGGGCGUAAAGCGUGCGCAGGCGGCUUUGUAAGUUAGAGGUGAAAGCCUGGAGCUCAACUCCAGAAUUGCCUUUAAGACUGCAUCGCUUGAAUCCAGGAGAGGUGAGUGGAAUUCCGAGUGUAGAGGUGAAAUUCGUAGAUAUUCGGAAGAACACCAGUGGCGAAGGCGGCUCACUGGACUGGUAUUGACGCUGAGGUGCGAAAGCGUGGGGAGCAAACAGG
rnacentral:rRNA from 1 species